CGUACGCACUCCAUUCAACCCUAAGUCCACAUUUUUCUCCAUCCUCUGCCACCGUGACUGCGUUCUUCUUCACCGCCGCCGCCUGAAGCUCUGCUCUGUUCAACUCGAGCUAUAAUUCAGGUACAAUUUGAAGCUUAGUUUAGUUAGAGAUAUGGCUUGAUGGCACAGUUUCAAAUAAAAUCUAAUGCAUUGAUUACUUUGCAAGAGCUAAACCAUUCGUCGCCAUUUUUCAAGCAUGGAGCGUCGCUCAAAGUUACUGGAAAGUUGCAGGAAUACACAUUAGAGACAGCCAUAGCAACCAUCGUUAAUUGGAUGAUCUCAAUCUUUAUCAUAAGUCUUUGCUGCUUCUAAGACAGUUUCAGGCCAACCAUCUCAACAAUCCAGCAAGUUAACUUUUGUAGGAUAAUUUGCUCGCACAAACUGUUAUAAUACACUAAUUUAAAUGUAAUUUUUUCCUCUCUCUAUAAUUAAAAAAGAUGUAAUGUUUCUCCUUGAAAUAUAAGAGCAUUUCUAUGUGAUUUUAAGAGAAUGCCAUGUCCAUGAACAUUAUAUAUUCUGCAGUGCUCAUCCUGUGAAUUGAAAUUUUCACAGAGUUCAUCACUUUUAGUUACUCAAUAGCACUUGCUGGUUGCUGCACAUCAGAUCAAAGG